CUUUGGGUGUGACUGCGUACCUUUUGUAUAAUGGGUCAGCGACUUAUAUUCUGUAGCAAGGUUAACCGAAUAGGGGAGCCGGAGGGAAACCGAGUCUUAACCGGGCGUUAAGUUGCAGGGUAUAGACCCGAAACCCGGUGAUCUAGCCAUGGGCAGGUUGAAGGUUGGGUAACACUAACUGGAGGACCGAACCGACUAAUGUUGAAAAAUUAGCGGAUGACCUGUGGCUGGGGGUGAAAGGCCAAUCAAACCGGGAGAUAGCUGGUUCUCCCCGAAAGCUAUUUAGGUAGCGCCUCGUGAAUUCAUCUCCGGGGGUAGAGCACUGUUUCGGCUAGGGGGCCAUCCCGGCUUACCAACCCGAUGCAAACUGCGAAUACCGGAGAAUGUUAUCACGGGAGACACACGGCGGGUGCUAACGUCCGUCGUGAAGAGGGAAACAACCCAGACCGCCAGCUAAGGUCCCAAAGUCAUGGUUAAGUGGGAAACGAUGUGGGAAGGCCCAGACAGCCAGGAUGUUGGCUUAGAAGCAGCCAUCAUUUAAAGAAAGCGUAAUAGCUCACUGGUCGAGUCGGCCUGCGCGGAAGAUGUAACGGGGCUAAACCAUGCACCGAAGCUGCGGCAGCGACACUGUGUGUUGUUGGGUAGGGGAGCGUUCUGUAAGCCUGUGAAGGUGUGUCGUGAGGCAUGCUGGAGGUAUCAGAAGUGCGAAUGCUGACAUAAGUAACGAUAAAGCGGGUGAAAAGCCCGCUCGCCGGAAGACCAAGGGUUCCUGUCCAACGUUAAUCGGGGCAGGGUGAGUCGACCCCUAAGGCGAGGCCGAAAGGCGUAGUCGAUGGGAAACGGGUUAAUAUUCCCGUACUUGGUGUUACUGCGAAGGGGGGACGGAGAAGGCUAUGUUGGCCGGGCGACGGUUGUCCCGGUUUAAGCGUGUAGGUGUGUGUUCCAGGUAAAUCCGGUUCACUUUAACACUGAGGCGUGACGACGAGGCACUACGGUGCUGAAGCAACAAAUGCCCUGCUUCCAGGAAAAGCCUCUAAGCAUCAGGUAACAUCAAAUCGUACCCCAAACCGACACAGGUGGUCAGGUAGAGAAUACCAAGGCGCUUGAGAGAACUCGGGUGAAGGAACUAGGCAAAAUGGUGCCGUAACUUCGGGAGAAGGCACGCUGACACGUAGGUGAAGUGAUUUACUCAUGGAGCUGAAGUCAGUCGAAGAUACCAGCUGGCUGCAACUGUUUAUUAAAAACACAGCACUGUGCAAACACGAAAGUGGACGUAUACGGUGUGACGCCUGCCCGGUGCCGGAAGGUUAAUUGAUGGGGUCAGCGCAAGCGAAGCUCCUGAUCGAAGCCCCGGUAAACGGCGGCCGUAACUAUAACGGUCCUAAGGUAGCGAAAUUCCUUGUCGGGUAAGUUCCGACCUGCACGAAUGGCGUAAUGAUGGCCAGGCUGUCUCCACCCGAGACUCAGUGAAAUUGAACUCGCUGUGAAGAUGCAGUGUACCCGCGGCAAGACGGAAAGACCCCGUGAACCUUUACUAUAGCUUGACACUGAACAUUGAGCCUUGAUGUGUAGGAUAGGUGGGAGGCUUUGAAGUGUGGACGCCAGUCUGCAUGGAGCCGACCUUGAAAUACCACCCUUUAAUGUUUGAUGUUCUAACGUGGACCCGUUACCCGGGUUGCGGACAGUGUCUGGUGGGUAGUUUGACUGGGGCGGUCUCCUCCUAAAGAGUAACGGAGGAGCACGAAGGUUGGCUAAUCCUGGUCGGACAUCAGGAGGUUAGUGCAAUGGCAUAAGCCAGCUUGACUGCGAGCGUGACGGCGCGAGCAGGUGCGAAAGCAGGUCAUAGUGAUCCGGUGGUUCUGAAUGGAAGGGCCAUCGCUCAACGGAUAAAAGGUACUCCGGGGAUAACAGGCUGAUACCGCCCAAGAGUUCAUAUCGACGGCGGUGUUUGGCACCUCGAUGUCGGCUCAUCACAUCCUGGGGCUGAAGUAGGUCCCAAGGGUAUGGCUGUUCGCCAUUUAAAGUGGUACGCGAGCUGGGUUUAGAACGUCGUGAGACAGUUCGGUCCCUAUCUGCCGUGGGCGCUGGAGAACUGAGGGGGGCUGCUCCUAGUACGAGAGGACCGGAGUGGACGCAUCACUGGUGUUCGGGUUGUCAUGCCAAUGGCACUGCCCGGUAGCUAAAUGCGGAAGAGAUAAGUGCUGAAAGCAUCUAAGCACGAAACUUGCCCCGAG
rnacentral:rRNA from 1 species